GCAAGUCGAGCGGAAACGACACUAACAAUCCUUCGGGUGCGUUAAUGGGCGCCGAGCGGUGGACGGGUGAGUAAUGCCUUGGAAAUUGCCUUGAUGUGGGGGAUAACCAUUGGAAACGACGGCUAAUACCGCAUAAUGCCUACGGGCCAACGAGGGGGACCUUCGGGCCUCUCGCGUCAAGAUAUGCCUAGGUGGGAUUAGCUAGUUGGUGAGGUAAUGGCUCACCAAGGCGACGAUCCCUAGCUGGUCUGAGAGGAUGAUC
rnacentral:rRNA from 1 species